rnacentral:rRNA from 1 species
GAGUUUGAUCCUGGCUCAGAACGAACGCUGGCGGCGCGUUUUAAGCAUGCNANUCGAACGGUAGAGAAACUUCGGUUUCUUGAGAGUGGCGAACGGGUGAGUAACACGUAGAUGAUCUGCCUUGAAGUUGGGGAUAGCCUAUAGAAAUAUGGGGUAAUACCGGAUAAUACCUUAGAACUCUGGUUUUUUGGUGAAAGGGGCUUCGGCCUCGCUUUAAGAUGAGUCUGCGGCUUAUUAGCUAGUUGGUAGGGUAAAAGCCUACCAAGGCGACGAUAAGUAGCCGGCCUGAGAGGGUGACCGGCCACAUUGGGACUGAGACACGGCCCAAACUCCUACGGGAGGCAGCAGCUAAGAACCUUCCGCAAUGGGCGCAAGCCUGACGGAGCGACGCCGCGUGGACGAAGAAUGCCGAGAGGUUGUAAAGUCCUUUUAUUUGCGAAGAAUAAUGCCUGUAGGUAAUGACAGGCAGAUGACGUUAGCUUAUGAAUAAGCUCCGGCCAAUUACGUGCCAGCAGCCGCGGUAACACGUAAGGAGCGAGCGUUGUUCGGAAUUAUUGGGCGUAAAGGGCAUGUAGGCGGUUACAUAAGUCUGAUGUGAAAUACUACAGCUUAACUGUGGGAACGCAUUGGAAACUGUGUGACUUGAAUCUGUGAGGGGUAACUGGAAUUCCUAGUGUAGGGGUGAAAUCUGUUGAUAUUAGGAAGAACACCGAUGGCGAANGCAAGUUACUGGCACAUGAUUGACGCUGAGAUGCNAAAGCGUANGGAGCGAACAGGAU